GAUGAAGAACGCAGCGAAAUGCGAUAAGUAAUGUGAAUUGCAGAAUUCAGUGAAUCAUCGAAUCUUUGAACGCACAUUGCGCCCGCCAGUAUUCUGGCGGGCAUGCCUGUCUGAGCGUCAUUUCAACCCUCAUGCCCCUAGGGCGUGGUGUUGGGGAUCGGCCAAAGCCCGCGAGGGACGGCCGGCCCCUAAAUCUAGUGGCGGACCCGUCGUGGCCUCCUCUGCGAAGUAGUGAUAUUCCGCAUCGGAGAGCGAUGAGCCCCUGCCGUUAAACCCACAACUUUCCAAGGUUGACCUCAGAUCAGGUAGGAAUACCCGCUGAACUUAAGCAUAUCAAUAAGCGGAGGA
rnacentral:misc_RNA from 1 species